UACCAGCACCCCGAGUGGUCGGGACGAUUAUUGGGCCUAAAGCAUCCGUAGCCGGUCCUACAAGUCUUCCGUUAAAUCCACCUGCUUAACAGAUGGGCUGCGGAAGAUACUAUAGGGCUAGGAGGCGGGAGAGGCAAGCGGUACUCAGUGGGUAGGGGUAAAAUCCUCUGAUCCAUUGAAGACCACCAGUGGCGAAGGCGGCUUGCCAGAACGCGCUCGACGGUGAGGGAGUGAAAGCUGGGGGGAGCAAAC
rnacentral:rRNA from 1 species